rnacentral:rRNA from 1 species
GUGGUCCGUCAAAACUUCAUUACCCCCGAUGCGGAUGCAAUUCUUAACAUCCCCCUGAUGCGGGGUGGGGGCGAUGAUGUUAUUGCCUGGGCUCACGAACGAUCGGGAUGCUAUACUGUAAAAUCAGCGUAUCGUGCUCUAAUGACUCGUAAUGAGCAUCUGGCUCUAGAGGAAGGGACGAUCACCGAGACUUCAUCGACAGACAAACAGCUAUGGUCCCGGUUAUGGAAGCUUAAGGUUAUGCCAAGGGUGAGAGUGUUC